UGGCGAACUCCUACGGGAGGCAGCAGUGGGGAAUUUUGGACAAUGGGCGCAAGCCUGAUCCAGCCAUGCCGCGUGUCUGAAGAAGGCCUUCGGGUUGUAAAGGACUUUUGUCAGGGAAGAAAAGGGCGGGGUUAAUACCCCUGUCUGAUGACGGUACCUGAAGAAUAAGCACCGGCUAACUACAUGCCAGCAGCCGCGGUAAUACGUAGGGUGCGAGCGUUAAUCGGAAUUACUGGCGUAAAGCGGGCGCAGACGGUUACUUAAGCAGGAUGUGAAAUCCCCGGGCUCAACCUGGGAACUUCGUUCUGAACUGGGUGACUAGAGGGUGGCAGAGGGAGGUAGAAUUCCACGUGUAGCAGGGAAAUGCGUAGAGAUGUGGAGGAAUACCGAUGGCGAAGGCAGCCUCCUGGGAUAACACUGACGUUCAUGCCCGAAAGCGUGGGUAGCAAACAGGAUUAGAUACCCCGGUAGUCCAGAGAA
rnacentral:rRNA from 1 species